GCAUUGAAUCUCUUCCUUCCAUGUAGUACGCAACUAGUCAGAAACAACGGUCGCUUUAAAAGGGCUCUGAAGACCAAUCAAUGGGGCCAGAUCCACUUGCCUUGCUGCCGUAUGCCUGACAACUUUGGGAAUACUGGAUGAGUAUGAUUCUCCCAGAUCAAAUUUGGGAUUAAGGCCUGGAGCAAAGGGAUUGAGAGACGCCACUGAAAUUUCCAGUACAAGACUAGUCUGCAACAUUUUGGUCCCUGCCCAGUUUUUGUACCUUUGGCCUGGAACGCCCUCCCUCCGAAAAUCUGCUGGACAAUUACUCUCCGAGCCGCAUCAAAGCCUCCACUUUUUGA